AUCAUUUCAGAGUGUGGGUAAAGUUCACCAAUAAAUAUUGGUAAAAUUCACCCAUAUUCUUGAUGAAGUGACUUUACUCAUAUAUGGGUAAAGACUGUUUACCCAUAUUUGGAUGAAAAAAAUAAUAUUUUCGAGAGGCAGCACCGAAAUCGGUAGUUCACUCGGUUCGCCAAGUAUAAAACAAUUGUUUUAGUUAAUUAUUCCCGGAAUUAUUAGAGAACGGUGAUGCAAAUUUGCAAACUAAACAACGCCUAGAUGAAGAGGAAGCAGGUGACCUCUGAAUAGAACCAAAUUUCCUUCGGGGAAACAAACAGCCCAGCAAUCCAUCGGAGUGCAAAUAAACCGUGAACGAAUCGUCUAGGACUCCGCUCCCCCUGCUGCCAAAUUUGAAUAGGCCGGCCAUAUGAUGCAAACCGCCCGGAGAAAAAGGAAGUGCCAUUCCAGUUGCAGAUGUGCCUCGGCUCCCCCGAUGAUUCCAGAGCAGUUGAAACCCACCCAGUAUAAAGUGGGAGCGGGAAGGAAACCGCCACAAGUGGCUCAAGUCCGGGCAUUAUUAGAACCAGGGAGGAGUUUGCAUCAAUAUCUGAUUUGUGCAUUUCACUGCCGGUCCUACCCAUUCUGGUCGAGAUCGUGGCCUCAAACGCCCAUACGAGCAAGCGCAAGAUUCAACAAACUCCAUCAGCUGGUGGACCCUCCGGAGCGCAUCGUCCGGAAGAAAGCGGGCGUGCUCCACCAUCAGAAAUCGGUUAGCGGUCCUUUGACCAUUGAGCCGCCGCACGAUCCAGCCUUUUCCUGUUUUUUUUUUAUUUUUUUAAUAUUUUUCUGUUUUAUAAUAUUGUUCGAAUAAACUUUUUUCAAGUAUUUUAAUUUUAUUUGUUUUCUUUUCGAAAUCUAUCGUUGGAAUUUUAUUUAUAAAUAAAAUGAAUAAAUAAACCAUUUACUCAAAUAUGCGUACUAUGUACCCAAAUUCAAAGAACUCAUAUAUGGGUAAAUUCAACCUAUUGGCGAUUAAAAGUUGAGGUUAUGUCGUGAAAAUUUGGAAGUUUGAAAGGGAAAUACCAGUUCCCCAUCAGUUUAAUCAUUAAUUUUUUGAUAAAUUUAUCGAUAAAAUGGAUUUUUCUACCCCGAUCUCACAUUAAAUUUUAUCUGAAACGACUCAAUCACUAAAAUACGAAAUGGGAUUUCACAAAACUUAACCUCACUUUAGGAGGCC